rnacentral:rRNA from 1 species
UACGGGGGGGGCAAGCGUUGUUCGGAAUUACUGGGCGUAAAGGGCUCGUAGGUGGCCAACUAAGUCGGACGUGAAAUCCCUCGGCUUAACCGGGGAACUGCGUCCGAUACUGGUUGGCUUGAGUUUGGGAGAGGGAUGCGGAAUUCCUGGUGUAGCGGUGGAAUGCGCAGAUAUCAGGAGGAACACCAACGGCGAAGGCAGCUCGCUGGGACGGUACUGACGCUAAGGCGCGAAAGCGUGGGGAGCAAACAGG